rnacentral:tRNA from 1 species
UGAUCGCUUUGUCUUCUAUUCAUUUCAUUACAUUUAACUCACUUUCAGUAUUUCCUUUUAAAUAAUCCAUUAAAUG